CGUUGUGGCUUGAAACGACAGUGUUUUGAAAAUUCUAUGAACUGUGCUUUUGGUGUUAGUUGGCAGCCCACAUAUUCUUCUCCUUCCUUCCCCUUUGUUUGAAAUCAAAACGGAACAGAGGAGUCAGGACUGAGCUUUGGUAUUGAUUAGAGAAUCCUUGAAGCAUUAUAUUGGCGACGUGAGAGCAAACAAGUCAGAGAGUGGUCUGUUUCUUUUUGAUUCUGUGGAACAGGUGGGCUUUGA